rnacentral:rRNA from 1 species
CGUGAGAAUCUGCCCUUAGGAGAAGAAUAACUGCUGGAAACGGCUGCUAAACCUUCAUAUGUCGAGAGAUGAAAUAGCUUAGGCUGCCUAAGGAUGAGCUCACGCCUGAUUAGCUAGUUGGUGAGGUAAUGGCUCACCAAGGCCACGAUCAGUAGCUGGUUUGAGAGAACGAUCAGCCACACUGGGACUGAGACACGGCCCAGACUCCUCCGGGAGGCAGCAGUGAGGAAUUUUCCGCAAUGGGCGAAAGCCUGACGGAGCAAUACCGCGUGAGGGAUGAAGGAUUUUGGUCUGUAAACCUCUUUUCUCAAGAAAGAAGUUCUGACGGUACUUGAGGAAUAAGCAUCGGCUAACUCCGUGCCAGCAGCCGCGGUAAUACGGGAGAUGCAAGCGUUAUCCGGAAUCAUUGGGCGUAAAGCGCCUGUAGGUUGUUUAAUAAGUCUGUUGUUAAAGACUAGGGCUUAACCCUAGAAAAGCAAUGGAAACUACUAGACUAGAGUAUGGCAGGGGUA